rnacentral:rRNA from 1 species
UACGUAGGGGGCAAGCGUUGUCCGGAUUUACUGGGCGUAAAGAGCGUGUAGGCGGCCAAACAGGUCCGUUGUGAAAACUGGAGGCUCAACCUCCAGACGUCGACGGAAACCGUGUGGCUAGAGUCCGGAAGAGGAGAGUGGAAUUCCUGGUGUAGCGGUGAAAUGCGUAGAUAUCAAGAGGAACACCUGAGGUGAAGACGGGUUGCUGGGCCGACACUGACGCUGACAGCGCGAAAGCCAGGGGAGCAAACGGG